rnacentral:rRNA from 1 species
AUCCGCUUUGAGAUGGCCUCGCGUCCGAUUAGCUAGUUGGUGAGGUAACGGCCCACCAAGGCGACGAUCGGUAGCCGGACUGAGAGGUUGAACGGCCACAUUGGGACUGAGACACGGCCCAGACUCCUACGGGAGGCAGCAGUGGGGAAUAUUGCACAAUGGGGGAAACCCUGAUGCAGCGACGCCGCGUGGAGGAAGAAGGUCUUCGGAUUGUAAACUCCUGUUGUUGAGGAAGAUAAUGACGGUACUCAACAAGGAAGUGACGGCUAACUACGUGCCAGCAGCCGCGGUAAAACGUAGGUCACAAGCGUUGUCCGGAAUUACUGGGUGUAAAGGGAGCGCAGGCGGGAAGACAAGUUGGAAGUGAAAUCCAUGGGCUCAACCCAUGAACUGCUUUCAAAACUGUUUUUCUUGA